rnacentral:rRNA from 1 species
UUGUGAGGUUAAGCGACUAAGCGUACACGGUGGAUGCCCUGGCAGUCAGAGGCGAUGAAGGACGUGCUAAUCUGCGAUAAGCGUCGGUGAGGUGAUAUGAACCGUUAUAACCGGCGAUUUCCGAAUGGGGAAACCCAGUGUGUUUCGACACACUAUCAUUAACUGAAUCCAUAGGUUAAUGAGGCGAACCGGGGGAACUGAAACAUCUAAGUACCCCGAGGAAAAGAAAUCAACCGAGAUUCCCCCAGUAGCGGCGAGCGAACGGGGAGGAGCCCAGAGCCUGAAUCAGUGUGUGUGUUAGUGGAAGCGUCUGGAAAGGCGUGCGAUACAGGGUGACAGCCCCGUACACAAAAAUGCACAUAUUGUGAGCUCGAUGAGUAGGGCGGGACACGUGGUAUCCUGUCUGAAUAUGGGGGGACCAUCCUCCAAGGCUAAAUACUCCUGACUGACCGAUAGUGAACCAGUACCGUGAGGGAAAGGCGAAAAGAACCCCGGCGAGGGGAGUGAAAAAGAACCUGAAACCGUGUACGUACAAGCAGUGGGAGCCUCUUAAUGGGGUGACUGCGUACCUUUUGUAUAAUGGGUCAGCGACUUAUAUUCUGUAGCAAGGUUAACCGAAUAGGGGAGCCGAAGGGAAACCGAGUCUUAACUGGGCGUUAAGUUGCAGGGUAUAGACCCGAAACCCGGUGAUCUAGCCAUGGGCAGGUUGAAGGUUGGGUAACACUAACUGGAGGACCGAACCGACUAAUGUUGAAAAAUUAGCGGAUGACUUGUGGCUGGGGGUGAAAGGCCAAUCAAACCGGGAGAUAGCUGGUUCUCCCCGAAAGCUAUUUAGGUAGCGCCUCGUGAAUUCAUCUCCGGGGGUAGAGCACUGUUUCGGCAAGGGGGUCAUCCCGACUUACCAACCCGAUGCAAACUGCGAAUACCGGAGAAUGUUAUCACGGGAGACACACGGCGGGUGCUAACGUCCGUCGUGAAGAGGGAAACAACCCAGACCGCCAGCUAAGGUCCCAAAGUCAUGGUUAAGUGGGAAACGAUGUGGGAAGGCCCAGACAGCCAGGAUGUUGGCUUAGAAGCAGCCAUCAUUUAAAGAAAGCGUAAUAGCUCACUGGUCGAGUCGGCCUGCGCGGAAGAUGUAACGGGGCUAAACCAUGCACCGAAGCUGCGGCAGCGACACUAUGUGUUGUUGGGUAGGGGAGCGUUCUGUAAGCCUGUGAAGGUGGCCUGUGAGGGUUGCUGGAGGUAUCAGAAGUGCGAAUGCUGACAUAAGUAACGAUAAAGCGGGUGAAAAGCCCGCUCGCCGGAAGACCAAGGGUUCCUGUCCAACGUUAAUCGGGGCAGGGUGAGUCGACCCCUAAGGCGAGGCCGAAAGGCGUAGUCGAUGGGAAACAGGUUAAUAUUCCUGUACUUGGUGUUACUGCGAAGGGGGGACGGAGAAGGCUAUGUUGGCCGGGCGACGGUUGUCCCGGUUUAAGCGUGUAGGCUGGUUUUCCAGGCAAAUCCGGAAAACCAAGGCUGAGGCGUGAUGACGAGGCACUACGGUGCUGAAGCGACAAAUGCCCUGCUUCCAGGAAAAGCCUCUAAGCAUCAGGUAACAUCAAAUCGUACCCCAAACCGACACAGGUGGUCAGGUAGAGAAUACCAAGGCGCUUGAGAGAACUCGGGUGAAGGAACUAGGCAAAAUGGUGCCGUAACUUCGGGAGAAGGCACGCUGAUAUGUAGGUGAAGCGACUUGCUCGUGGAGCUGAAAUCAGUCGAAGAUACCAGCUGGCUGCAACUGUUUAUUAAAAACACAGCACUGUGCAAACACGAAAGUGGACGUAUACGGUGUGACGCCUGCCCGGUGCCGGAAGGUUAAUUGAUGGGGUUAGCGGUAACGCGAAGCUCUUGAUCGAAGCCCCGGUAAACGGCGGCCGUAACUAUAACGGUCCUAAGGUAGCGAAAUUCCUUGUCGGGUAAGUUCCGACCUGCACGAAUGGCGUAAUGAUGGCCAGGCUGUCUCCACCCGAGACUCAGUGAAAUUGAACUCGCUGUGAAGAUGCAGUGUACCCGCGGCAAGACGGAAAGACCCCGUGAACCUUUACUAUAGCUUGACACUGAACAUUGAGCCUUGAUGUGUAGGAUAGGUGGGAGGCUUUGAAGUGUGGACGCCAGUCUGCAUGGAGCCGACCUUGAAAUACCACCCUUUAAUGUUUGAUGUUCUAACGUUGGCCCGUAAUCCGGGUUGCGGACAGUGUCUGGUGGGUAGUUUGACUGGGGCGGUCUCCUCCUAAAGAGUAACGGAGGAGCACGAAGGUUGGCUAAUCCUGGUCGGACAUCAGGAGGUUAGUGCAAUGGCAUAAGCCAGCUUGACUGCGAGCGUGACGGCGCGAGCAGGUGCGAAAGCAGGUCAUAGUGAUCCGGUGGUUCUGAAUGGAAGGGCCAUCGCUCAACGGAUAAAAGGUACUCCGGGGAUAACAGGCUGAUACCGCCCAAGAGUUCAUAUCGACGGCGGUGUUUGGCACCUCGAUGUCGGCUCAUCACAUCCUGGGGCUGAAGUAGGUCCCAAGGGUAUGGCUGUUCGCCAUUUAAAGUGGUACGCGAGCUGGGUUUAGAACGUCGUGAGACAGUUCGGUCCCUAUCUGCCGUGGGCGCUGGAGAACUGAGGGGGGCUGCUCCUAGUACGAGAGGACCGGAGUGGACGCAUCACUGGUGUUCGGGUUGUCAUGCCAAUGGCACUGCCCGGUAGCUAAAUGCGGAAGAGAUAAGUGCUGAAAGCAUCUAAGCACGAAACUUGCCCCGAGAUGAGUUCUCCCUGAGACUUAGAGUCUCCUGAAGGAACGUUGAAGACGACGACGUUGAUAGGCCGGGUGUGUAAGCGCAGCGAUGCGUUGAGCUAACCGGUACUAAUGAACCGUGAGGCUUAACCUUACAACGCCGAAG